rnacentral:rRNA from 1 species
UACGAAGGGGGCAAGCGUUGUUCGGAAUUACUGGGCGUAAAGGGCUUGUAGGCGGCCAACUAAGUCAUACGUGAAAUCCCUCGGCUUAACCGGGGAACUGCGUCUGAUACUGGAUGGCUUGAGAUUGGGAGAGGGAUGCGGAAUUCCAGGUGUAGCGGUGAAAUGCGUAGAUAUCUGGAGGAACACCGGUGGCGAAGGCGGCAUCCUGGACCAACACUGACGCUGAGGAGCGAAAGCGUGGGGAGCGAUCCGG